rnacentral:tRNA from 1 species
UCCCUGAUGGCUCAGUUGGUAAAGAAUCUGCCUGCAAUGUAGGAGCUGCUGCUGCUGCUGCUGCUAAGUCGCUUCAGUUGUGUCCGACUCUGUGUGACCCCACAGACCCUGGUUCAAUUCCUGGUUUGGGAA